GUAGGUGAACCUGCGGAAGGAUCAUUAAAGAGAGCUUGCCCUUCGGGGUUAACAGAUCUCCCACCCUUUGUUUACCAUACUCUUGUUGCUUUGGCAGGCCCGCCCUGCGCCGCCGGCUUCAGGCUGGCCAGCGCCUGCCAGGGGAUUUUGAAAAAAACUCGUUGAUUUAGUGUCGUCUGAGUACAUGAUAAUAGUUAAAACUUUCAACAACGGAUCUCUUGGUUCUG
rnacentral:misc_RNA from 1 species